AAACGUUUAUUAAUUAAUGUUAGCCUUGCUAGUGUGCUUGAGUUGUUAACAUAUUCCUCUUUGACAAAUCAGCAGACACAACUGUCCUCAGAAGCUUCAAAUACAGCACUGAAGGAAGAGCUGCAGCUGACUUUUUAUUCAUGUGAGGCAGACAAGGACAGAAAAGGCCCGGUGGUAAAUGCUGCCAUUCUUCUUGAAUACUGUUAACUUACUCUUCAAAGAACAGAGUCAUCAAUCAGGUCAAAGGACCCUUUCAUCUGAAGGACUGCGGCAAUGGGGACCCUUUGAACCACCGGUGGCAGUUUCUACAGGAUGAGAAAGGACAUGAUAGAGGAUGACAGGGGUCUUGAUAUCUCACUGACAUUAUCCUGCUGUACUGACUGUAUCACACACACAUACAGUGGUCAAAAGUUUACAUCACAUUGCAGAAUCUGAAAAAUCUUAAAAUAAGAGCGAGUUGUUUUUUCAUUCUUAAUACUGUUGUUACCUAGAUGAUCAACAAUUGUUUUUUGUUUGUUUUGUGAUAAUUGUUCAUGAGUCACUUGUAUGUCCUGAGCAGUUAAACUGCACACUGUUCUUCACACUGAGGACAACUGAGGGGCUGUUGUUGCUCAUUACACUAUGCUUUUAAUUAUUCUGAUAUGGUCAAUUUCACAAUAAAAUGUCUGAUAAAGAAAUUUUAAAUCAGUUGAUUCAUUUUACUGCAAGAAUUUUAAUUGUAUUUUUCAUUGAUUAAAUGAUAUGAUGUUAAGUCAGUAGACAUAGAAGUUCAGCUAUCUAGUAAAACCCUAAUAAAGCUUUUGAUGUGGAAAAACAAAACUUGUUUUGAUUAUUUAUCAAUUAUUUAAUAGUAAUAUAAAUAUAAUUUAUUUAAAAGUAAACAAAAUAUAAACUUGAAAGUUUGAGUUUAGUCUAUUUGCCUUUUAAGUUAUCUGCACUUAAACAUUUGAGUUAAUUCAAUGAAAAGACCACAUUAGGCCAACUCAAUUAAACUGAGUUGUCAUUUCCCCAUUACUCAGUUAAAUUGAGGGAAUCACUUUCCUCAAUUCAUUUGAGUAGUCUCAACUUAUUAGGGUUUACACCUUCCCUAUUCAAUUUACGGAAAAAGUGUAAAAUAUUACUACAUAAAACAUCUCAAUGCUGCAUCAGUUGCUGAUGCUAUGGGGACGUUAAUACCCAUCAUAGCAUACUGAACAAUGCCUGCUUGUGUGUUGUGAAGACCAGGCUUAAUCAUCGAAGGACUCGUUGAGCCGCAGCCCAGAGUAACGCAAAUAGGACGCAUCCUGUGACACCCGUCAAAAGCAUGCGAUUUGACAGCAAAACGCGCGUCCUCGACGUGUGAUUUGCCAUAAAACACGCGUUGUGCUCACUUUUUAGGGAUGGAGUCUGUCAUGUUUUUGUCUGCUAUCCAACCCAACCAAAACAACAUGGAUAAAUUUGCCAGAGGAUGAAAUGCCCGCGCUCACCCAGCAAGCAAUUUUAUGUCUAAUAGACGUCUAAUAGCCGUCAAAACAUAGCCCGGCCGUCUAGGCCAAAACGAGGCAAAAUUUGGGCUGUCAGUGAAAAUCUAAUAGACGUCUAACCAUAACCCAAGAAAAGACUAGUCCUCAAUUAGACGGCUAUUAGACGACUACAUAUUUAUGUCUAAUAGACGGUGAAUAUGGGUCUAGGCUAAAACAAGGCUAAAUUUGGGCUGUCAGUGAAAAUCUAAUAGACGUCUAACCAUAACCCAAGAGUAGACUAGUCAUCAAAUAUACAGCUAAUGAAUGACUACAUCUAUACAUGUAAUAGACAACAAAAUAAUGGCUAAAGGAUUCUUUUCACUUAAAUAUAACAGGUUCUCAUAAAUGGCAAUCCGUCCAAACAAAUUAAAUAUAGUUUUAUUUAGAAAAAGAACUCAAGAUAAUACAAAAUGAUAAAAAAAAUAAUGAAAAUUAAAUUUUACAAAUACAAUACAAAUAAACAUAAAAAAAAAAAAAAUGGAACAUUUUACAACUUAAAAAUAUAAAAAAUUGACAAAAAAAAGUUAAAUAAAAAAGGUUAACAAUGUUUUUUGGUUUAUAAAACAACCUGAUUAAUUUUCGGUUCCAUAAACCGAAAAUGUCCAUAAAUGUCUUAUGUAAAGCACUUUGAAUUACCUUGAAAAUUGUUGCUGAAAUGUGAUAAACAAAAUAAACUUGCCUUGCCAAAUCAAAAACUCAUAUUUUCAUAUCAUAAUGAUCAAAAGAUUAAAAGAUAUACGAGGCUUCCGUAACAAAUAAUAAUAGGAUGCACAGGUUUCAUGUUUACCCCCUUGUAUUUAGAUAAGAGUUUUAGGGCAAAAGUAAACAUACUGUACAUAUGCAUGUAGCAUGUUAAUCUAACCACUAAAUGGCUUACUCUGAGUCCCGUUAAAAUGUCACGGUUCCUACACAUGAUAACACAUGAUGUACAUAUAUAAUGAACGCAUGUCAAAAUGAAAAACACAGAUACUUACAAGACCAAAAGCAGGAAAGAAUUUGCUUUAACAUUUGCUGUUGCUUGCUUUCCGUCUCCAACAGUUGUAAAAUGGCGAAAAUGUUUAUCGCGAGAUCUGGCAACAGUGAUCGAGAGCUAACUUUCAAGUCUCGCGUUGCCAGUGGUCUCAGUAGAGUCACAGUUGCCAUCUAGCGGUUGAGAAUUGUAAUUGUAAAUUUUUAUUUAACUUAAAAUUAAAGACAGUCAUAUAUGUGU